UAGGGAAUUUUCGUCAAUGGGCGCAAGCCUGAACGAGCGAUGCCGCGUGAGUGAAGAAGGCCUUGGUCGUAAAGCUCUGUUGCGGGGGAAAAAAGGCAGCAUCAGGAAAUGGGUGCUGACUGAUGGUGCCCCGCCAGAAAGUCACGGCUAACUACGUGCC
rnacentral:rRNA from 1 species